rnacentral:rRNA from 1 species
GAUGAACGCUGGCGGCGUGCCUAAUACAUGCAAGUCGAGCGAAGCGGGGACGGGUGAGUAACACGUGGAUAACCUCCUAUAAGAGUGGAAUCACAUCGGGAAACCGGACCUAUACCCAUUAGUUCAAAUAGGAUCCGCGCUGCAUUAGAUAGUUGGUAAGGGAACGGCCUACAAAGGCAACGUUGCAUAGCUGACCUGAGAGGGUGAUCGGCCACACUGGAACUGAGACACGGUCCAGACUCCUACGGGAGGCAGCAGUAGGGAAGAUUGCGCAAUGGGCGGAAGCCUGACGGAGCAACGCCGCGUGUGUGAUGAAGGCACUAGGAUCGUAAAGCUCUGUUAUUAGGGAAGCGGUACCGAAUCAGAAAGCCCCGGCUAACUCCGUGCCAGCAGCCGCGGUAAUUC